UACGUAGGGUGCGAGCGUUGUCCGGAAUUAUUGGGCGUAAAGGGCUCGUAGGCGGUUUGUCGCGUCGGGAGUGAAAACCAGGUGCUUAACACCUGGCUUGCUUUCGAUACGGGCAGACUAGAGGUAUUCAGGGGAGAACGGAAUUCCUGGUGUAGCAGUGAAAUGCGUAGAUAUCAGGAGGAAUACCGAUGGCGAAGGCAGGUCUCUGGGCUGACACUGACGCUCAUGCACGAAAGCGUGGGGGGCAAACAGG
rnacentral:rRNA from 1 species